GGAUGUGAGAUGUCGAUCUGGCUGCGAUAUCUGUCACUCCACUGAUCGCCAGGGUUAAUUCGGCUGAUCUAGCUGGCUAGGCGGGUGUCCCCUUCCUCCCUCACCUCUCCAUAUGCAUCCCUCCCGAAGCUUCAUGCUGGGUCGAAGAGGAUGGCCUUCCCCACAUAGAGACCGACCCGUCUUUGGUUGAAGGUUUAGGAGUAGCUGCGCUCCCCUGCUAGAACCUCCAAACAAGCUCUCAUUAAUAUUUAUUAAGCACUACUCAAAGCACUUAUAUGUAAAUGCAUUUAAUUCUCACAACAAGCUUAAGACAAAAUAAUCAUUAUGACUGAUAGUAUUAUAUU
rnacentral:snRNA from 1 species